rnacentral:rRNA from 1 species
GACGAACGCUGGCGGCGUGCUUAACACAUGCAAGUCGAGCGGUAAGGCCCUUUUGGGGGUACACGAGCGGCGAACGGGUGAGUAACACGUGGGUGACCUGCCCUCAGCUCUGGGAUAAGCCUGGGAAACUGGGUCUAAUACUGGAUAUGACCUUUUCCUCGCAUGGGGUUGGGUGGAAAGUUUUUUCGGCUGGGGAUGGGGCCCGCGGCCUAUCAGCUUGUUGGUGGGGUGAUGGCCUACCAAGGCGACGACGGUAGCCGGCCUGAGAGGGCGACCGGCCACACUGGGACUGAG